rnacentral:rRNA from 1 species
AAAGGGUGCGUAGGUGGUCAUUUAAGUCUGAUUUGAAAGCAGGCGGCUUAACCGUCUGAUGUGGUUGGAAACUGAAUGACUUGAAUGGGUUGGCGGUAGCCGGAAUGGGUCAUGUAGCGGUGAAAUGCAUAGAUAUGACCCGGAACACCGAUUGCGAAGGCAGGCUACUACGACUUGAUUGACACUGAGGCACGAGAGCAUGGGUAGCGAACAGGAUUAGAUACCCUAGU